rnacentral:rRNA from 1 species
GUACACUCCUACGGGAGGCAGCAGUGGGGAAUUUUGGACAAUGGGCGAAAGCCUGAUCCAGCAAUGCCGCGUGUGUGAAGAAGGCCUUCGGGUUGUAAAGCACUUUUGUCCGGAAAGAAAUCCUUGGCUCUAAUACAGUCGGGGGAUGACGGUACCGGAAGAAUAAGCACCGGCUAACUACGUGCCAGCAGCCGCGGUAAUACGUAGGGUGCGAGCGUUAAUCGGAAUUACUGGGCGUAAAGCGUGCGCAGGCGGUUUGCUAAGACCGAUGUGAAAUCCCCGGGCUCAACCUGGGAACUGCAUUGGUGACUGGCAGGCUAGAGUAUGGCAGAGGGGGGUAGAAUUCCACGUGUAGCAGUGAAAUGCGUAGAGAUGUGGAGGAAUACCGAUGGCGAAGGCAGCCCCCUGGGCCAAUACUGACGCUCAUGCACGAAAGCGUGGGGAGCAAACAGGAUUAGAAACCCCGGUAGUCCCAUG